GGUAGUGUGGCCGAGCAGGAGGCGGUGAGUUGUAGCCUCACCUACUGGGGACAUACCCACGCUACCAAGCC
rnacentral:tRNA from 1 species